UCCAAUUUUAGUUACCUGCUCAUCCAAAAUUUUCAUUUCCCCCUUUUACUUCUCAACCAAAAUUUUCAUUCCCUCUUCCUCUUAUCCAAAUCCUUUCGGAGAAAACUCAUAACUCUCUCCUGUUUUUCAAUCUCAGAACUCUAUCUCUUGUAAAGCUCCCUGUGGUGUGUUUUCUCUUCAAAGGCCAGAAAAGCACAAACACCUCCGUCGAUUGUAAACACCUCUGAUUUACACCUGCUAUAGGGUUCAACUUUGGGGCUUUCAUCUUCCAGGUAAUCUCUAACUUAUUUGGGUUUAUAUUCCGGGUUUUGUUUUGUGCUAUAAGAUCUUGACCUUAUGUUUUGUAUUUGGAAAAAUUUAGGGCUUUGCUUUGUAUGUCUGUGAAUUUAGAUUUGAUUUUGAGCUUUGCUUUUCAAGGUGUAGAAUCUUCAGGCAAUUUCUUGGCAUUGCUAGAUUAGAAAUGUUCUGGUUCAAGCAAUUAAUGUUUGAUUUAGGGUUAUCUUGGUGUAUUUGGAUUUGUUUUUGGACUUUUUAUUGAUAUUGUAGAUGUCGUAUUAUAUGUAUGGAAUGUACAUAAAAUCUAACAUUGAAAAUAACAACUAGCCUUAAGAAUAUUCCGGGUGGCAGGCACAAUGAGUGUCUCUGCUGCAAGUGGAUCCAAACACCUCAAAAAUUCUUUUAAUAGUAUAAAAGCCCACUCCCCUUCUGAAUGCCGCUAUAAGUACUAGGCAAUAAUGUGUGAUAUCCAGAGUCAUAAUCAUUCAAGAUGUUGCAUAAAAGGCAUAUGCAGAGAGUGCUUCAUGCAUAUGAAAACUUCAAAUUAGGACGCGACAACAGGAAUUACAAGAUGAAGAUUAGAGAAUGCACAAAUUUCAGGAUAAAACAGCCUUAAUAGAUCAGGUAGUUUGAAUCUAACGCAGUUGCAGGUAUAGUAUUAUAUUAGGGGGAGUCACCACUUUAGAUAAAUAACAGAGGUUGUAGAACAUUCCAUACAACUAAUUAAUGGUGGCCUUUGCUUUUUGCAGUUCCCGUCUUUAUAAAAGGUUAUUUCAUAGAUAUAGUCAUGUGGCAUGAUCAGAUUCUGACCUGCUUGACCAAUAAGCAAACUGGCUAGCAUCUAUAUCAUCCGAUGGGUACAAACAAGGUUCGAAUCAGUAUGUAUCUUGAGUCUGAAUAUUCAUGUGGCAUGAUCAGAUUCUGACCUGCAUGAAAACAAUUCCUCACCAUUUGAAAGAAUGUGACAAGAAAGCUUGAAUGCAUUAAGAAUGUAGAUAACAACAGCUUGAAGUCUGCCAUGGAUCACAUUUUAGAAGCUCGGCAAAAAGGAGAGCCACGCAGCAAAUGCCAAAGACAUGAAAUUUAUCAUAGAGAUGGUUAUUCAUGCACUUUUUACCAUAAAAAUUUAAAGUACUCGUAGAGACAUGAGAUUUAUAUGUAUGCAAUUUUAGAUAGAAAUUGCAGAUAAACUUAAUUUUUUGUAUUGAUAUAUUUAUUGAUUCAUUAUUUGGCUGGGGGUAUUAUUUAUAGUCA